CGGCACUCGGGUCCCCGCCGCGCGCGGCCCUGUGCCUCUCUCCCGGGGAGCCGCGCGCGACGACCCAGGGCAGCUUGGCAGAAACAUGGAUGAGCCCAUGGCCCUAAUCAGCUACAAUAUAUUUUCUGCAACAGACUACUGGUACAGAAUGGAGAAAGCAUGGCCAGACAGCAGUUCAUGUGGAAAAGAAAAAAACUGGGCAACAACUCAAUGUGAGUUAGCGUGCCAUGACAGUAAAAAAAAAAAAGCUAACAAAAUCUUUGUAUCAAUAGAGGCACAAUGUCCAGAACAAGGGAGGGGAUAGUCCUGUUGUGCCAGGCCCUUCAGACCACAUCUGGAGUACUAUGUUCAGUUCUUGGCGCCAUAAUUUAGGAAGGCAUUUUAAAAAUCUGAGGGACUUCCCAUAAGCAUGACCAGCAUAAUG